CUCCAUGUAAUCUGAUUCAUUAUGAUCUAGGAUCAGGUCUCCCUCUCCAUGUAAUCUGAUUCAUUAUGAUCUUGGUUAAUUAUGAUCUAGGAUCAGGUCCCCCUCUCCCUGUAAUCUGGUUAAUUCUGAUCUAGGAUCAGGUCCCUCCUCUCCAUGUAAUAUGAUUCAUUAUGAUCUAGGAUCAGGUCUCCCUCUCCAUGUAAUCUGAUUCAUUAUGAUCUUGGUUAAUUAUGAUCUAGGAUCAGGUCCCCCUCUCCCUGUAAUCUGGUUAAUUCUGAUCUAGGAUCAGGUCCCUCCUCUCCAUGUAAUAUGAUUCAUUAUGAUCUAGGAUCAGGUCCCCCUCUCCAUGUAAUCUGAUUCAUUAUGAUCUAGGAUCAGGUCCUCCCUCUCCAUGUAAUCUGAUUCAUUAUGAUCUAGGAUCAGGUCCCCCUCUCCAUGUAAUCUGAUUCAUUAUGAUCUAGGAUCAGGUCCCUCCUCUCCAUGUAAUCUGAUUCAUUAUGAUCUAGGAUCAGGUCCCUCCUCUCCAUGUAAUCUGAUUCAUUAUGAUCUAGGAUCAGGUCUCCCUCUCCAUGUAAUCUGAUUCAUUAUGAUCUAGGAUCAGGUCCCCCCUCUCCAUGUAAUCUGAUUCAUUAUGAUCUAGGAUCAGGUCUCCCUCUCCAUGUAAUCUGAUUCAUUAUGAUCUAGGAUCAGGUCCCC